rnacentral:rRNA from 1 species
UACAGAGGCCCCAAGCGUUACUGAGAAUCACUGGGUUUAAAGGGUGCGUAGGUGGUCCGUUAAGUUCGUUGUGAAAUCCCUGGGCUCAACCCGGGAACUGCUUCGAAUACUGGCGGACUUGAGGCUAGUAGAGGUCACUGGAACUGACGGUGGAGCGGUGAAAUGCGUAGAUAUCGUCAGGAACGCCGGUGGUGAAGACGGGUGACUGGGCUAGUUCUGACACUGAGGCACGAAAGCGUGGGGAGCGAACGGGG